rnacentral:lncRNA from 1 species
UCACUAAAUUAGUACAGUUUCUACAAAAGGCCAUAAGAGAGACAAUAGAUGAGGGAAAAAAAAAAGAAAUUUAAAUCAGGCUUGGCUUAUGCCAAAUAGAGACUGUCUAAUUAAACAAAGAAAUAAGAUGAAAUUAACGUACAGGAACUUUUCCUCAUAUAGGAGGAAAAUAAAGUCUGACAGUUUAAGUAGGAAAGUUUAUGAUCACUUUUAAAGGAAGAUAAGAAAGGCUAAAGACAGAAGACUAUUUGAUAUCGACAGUUUAUUCAUUUGCACGCAGACAGAUAUUCUUUCUCAACACGAAGCAUGAAAUCUUAUGGCCACGAAGCUUGAGGGCCCUGGCAUGGAGAGUCCGUAUACAGCUACAAAGACAUUUAAGAAAUCAGUUGCAUGAAGAUUGCUAGUUGCCCACAAAAAUCUAUCCUUCCCUACUUCCAGGUCAUAUGGAUAAACCACAUUUCCUGGCCUCCCUUACAGUUAGAUGUGGUCAUAGGACUGAUUUAUGGCCAAGGAAUGUGAGAAGCAAUGUAUGCCAUUUCCCAACAUGGGCCUUGGGUCAUUGCCUCCUCCAUGCCUCUAUCUCCUUCCUGCCGACUGGAACUCAGUAGGGGCUGUGACCUAUCUUCAACCUUCUGUGGGGAAACUCCCCACAGAAGGACCCUGAGUCCCUGAAUGAUUCUGUGGAACAGAGAACUUCCACCAACCUGGACUACUCAUCUUGGAGUUGAAUGUAAAAGAGAAACAAGUUUUCAUGGUCUUUAAGCAACUAAUUUAGGUCUUCUUGUUUCUGUAUCUUUGUGUUCCCCUGAACUGUGUACAAAGAAACAAAAGAUGCUUUCAAAACUAUGUAUUGAGAAGUUACUAUGUCCUCAGCCUUGGUGUAAGCACUGAACAAAUACUCGAUGCUAAAUGAGACCUUAACAAUGGAAGAAAUACGCACAUAAAUUAUUUGUUCCAGUGUAAACAUUGCCUUAUUCUAGAUCCACGCACACACAGUGAAUACAAAGAGUGGGCAUCUCAUACUGCUUGGAAGAAGAGAAGGAAGAAUCAAUACAGUAAUGGCAUGUGGGUUGAGCCUAAGAACAGAGGUCCUCUGGGCAGAAAAGGGGGAAGGAGGAAGGAAAUAAAGGAGAAGAAAUCCCAUAGUGUGUAGAUAGGAAGAUGCAGCCAGUCAGUAGUGUGAAUGGCUAGAGGUACUGGAGUAGAGCCAGGAAGACAUUUGAAGACCAGAAUGUGAAGAUAAUUAUUUGGACUUCGCCCUGCAGGACAAUUAAAAGCCUGAUGAGGUUUAAAGUGAGCACUUGAUAAGGCCAGAUUUGUGCACUACAAAGGGCCUACUAGAGGAUAUAUGCAGAAUGGACCAGAGUGGGGAGAGACCAAGACAGGGAGCCCAGUUAGGAAGUGCCACAUCAGCCCAAAUACCUCUAGUGGACACCUGAACAGGAAGGUAACAUGAGACUGGAGAGGAAGGGGCAGAGUGGAGACACCUUUCAGAGUGGAGGAACGUGGAACCUGGCAACAACUGAAUGGGUCUGUUAAGAAAGAUGACCAAGUCACCAGCUCACCCUGGCUCUCGCAGUGAGCUCUAGACUGUAAGGGCCACUUCUGAAAGAAUCAAUUCACUUUUCCUCUCCCUCUCUCUACAGCCAACAGCAGUCCCUCCUAAGCGGACCCUCAUGUCAGUCCCAGGCCAUUUCCUCCUACCCACCCCAACCAUCCACCUACCCAAGAGUCUUCAAGAGCCAUCCCAGAUUAAAUCUGUUUCUCUCUUAAUAUCAUGGGCAUGUCUUGCCCUCCCUUCUAGAUCCUAUACCUUGCCCUCCUACAGCCAAGGAUCAACCAUGUUUGGCUUCCAGAAUGAAAGAUUAUAGUUGAAAAAAAAAAAAAAA